AUUGAACGCUGGCGGAAUGCUUUACACAUGCAAGUCGAACGGUAGAGGGGGCAACCCCUCGAGAGUGGCGAACGGGUGAGUAAUGCAUCGGAACGUACCGUGUAAUGGGGGAUAACGUAGCGAAAGUUACGCUAAUACCGCAUACGACCUGAGGGUGUAAGCAGGGGAUCGCAAGACCUUGCGUUAUACGAGCGGCCGAUGUCAGAUUAGCUAGUUGGUGAGGUAAAGGCUCACCAAGGCGACGAUCUGUAGCGGGUCUGAGAGGAUGAUCCGCCACACUGGGACUGAGACACGGCCCAGACUCCUACGGGAGGCAGCAGUGGGGAAUUUUGGACAAUGGGGGCAACCCUGAUCCAGCCAUGCCGCGUGAGUGAAGAAGGCCUUCGGGUUGUAAAGCUCUUUCGGCCGGGAAGAAAUCGCACAGGCUAAUACUCUGUGUGGAUGACGGUACCGGCAUAAGAAGCACCGGCUAACUACGUGCCAGCCGCCGCAGUAA
rnacentral:rRNA from 1 species